GGACCUUUAGCUCAGCUGGUUAGAGCAGGCGGCUCAUAAUAGGUUCGAAUCCUGCAAGGUCCA
rnacentral:tRNA from 1 species